ensembl:lncRNA
GUUACACAGCGAAUAGUAGUUAAUGACGUUACACAGCAAAUAGUAGUUAAUGACGUUACACAGCGAAUAGUAGUUAAUGACGUUACACAGUGAAUAGUAGUUAAUGAUGUUACACAGUGAAUAGUAGUUAAUGACGUUACACAGCGAAUAGUAGUUAAUGACGUUACACAGCGAAUAGUAGUUAAUGAUGUUACACAGUGAAUAGUAGUUAAUGACGUUACACAGCGAAUAGUAGUUAAUGACGUUACACAGUGAAUAGUAGUUAAUGACGUUACACAGUGAAUAGUAGUUAAUGAUGUUACACAGUGAAUAGUAGUUAAUGAUGUUACACAGUGAAUAGUAGUUAAUGACGUUACACAGCGAAUAGUAGUUAAUGAUGUUACACAGCGAAUAGUAGUUAAUGACGUUACACAGUGAAUAGUAAUGUUACACAACCGCCCCCCGGAUCCAAGCCCACGACCCUGGUACCGGCCCCACGACUCCUGACUCCAACGCCUCCAGUCCCCGCUCCCCGACUAAGGCCCCCUCCCCCUCCAUCCCGGGGUCUUCUCC